AGCCCGGUGGUGUAGCGGUCAAAUCCUUAAGGACUAAGCAUGUCGGGCUUUGACCCCGACGACGGCGGUUCGAAUCCGCCCCGGGCUACCA
rnacentral:tRNA from 1 species